rnacentral:tRNA from 1 species
GCAGUCGUGACCGAGUGGUUAAGGCGAUGGUCAUUGGGGUCUCCCCACACAGGUUCAAAUCCUGUCGACCGCG